CAUGUUGAUGGUGGGAACCCUUGCUGCUCCAAGAUCUGGCCAUUACGAAUGUCUGGAAUCUGGAUUGAGCUGGUUGAACGAGGUUAGAAAUUUCCAGAAAUGUUUGGAACUACUGGAUCUUUCAUUCAUACUAUAGUGGAGAAUCUACGCUUGCAUUCGUGCUUUAACUAUGAUGUCUACGCUGUAACGGGCGAUACCACAUCCAAGCAUUCCUUGAAGACACCAAGGACAAACGUCGAAAGGUGGGGCUUGGGUUUCGCGCUGUCAUCACGCAGCUACCGCAUACAGCCGUCGGUACAGGCAAAAAGGCACAAUCCUUGCAAUGUGCCCGCGUUAGGAAUACCUCGAUAUCUUCCUGGUUUGUAUCUCCACGCUGUAGUAGGAACCCGGACAAGGAAAAGUUUGUUGUACUGUGCUGUGGUCUGCACAAUGAGCGAGACAUUUUCAAAUCGAAAACACUCUUUUAUAU
rnacentral:sRNA from 1 species